rnacentral:rRNA from 1 species
CCUACGGGGGGCAGCAGUGAGGAAUAUUGGUCAAUGGGCGCGAGCCUGAACCAGCCAAGUCGCGUGAAGGAUGACUGCCCUACGGGUUGUAAACUUCUUUUAUAAAGGCAUAAAGUGAGGCACGUGUGCCUUUUUGUAAGUACUUUAUGAAUAAGGAUCGGCUAACUCCGUGCCAGCAGCCGCGGUAAUACGGAGGAUCCGAGCGUUAUCCGGAUUUAUUGGGUUUAAAGGGAGCGUAGAUGGGUUGUUACGUCAGUUGUGAAAGUUUGCUGCUCAACCGUAAAAUUGCAAUUGAUACUGGCAGCCUUGAGUACAGUUGAGGUAGGCGGAAUGCGUGGUGUAGCGGUGAAAUGCAUAGAUAUCACGAAGAACUCCGAUUGCGAAGGCAGCCUACUAAACUGCCACUGACAUUGAUGCUCGAAAGUGUGGGUAUCAAACAGGAUUAGAUACCCGGGUAGUC